AAAUAAAUUUGUUAGGUGAGGCUCCUAUAAAGAUAUAUGCCGCUACCCAGAAAAAUCGAGAGAUUCCAACGGGUUAACAGAAAUUAUCGCAAAGGUAAUUUUUAAUGUGGCUGACUAGAAAGUCAAAGCUCUAUAGUGCUAAAGCUCUACAACUAAGUAAUUAU
rnacentral:sRNA from 24 species